UACGUAGGGGGCAAGCGUUGUCCGGAAUUAUUGGGCGUAAAGAGCGCGUAGGCGGUCCGAUAAGUCGGCUGUGAAAGUCAGGGGCUCAACCCUUGAAAGCCGGCCGAUACCGUCGGACUAGAGUCCGGAAGAGGCGAGUGGAAUUCCCGGUGUAGCGGUGAAAUGCGCAGAUAUCGGGAGGAACACCAAUGGCGAAGGCAGCUCGCUGGGACGGUACUGACGCUGAGGCGCGAAAGCCAGGGGAGCGAACGGG
rnacentral:rRNA from 1 species